rnacentral:rRNA from 1 species
AUUGAACGCUGGCGGCAGGCCUAACACAUGCAAGUCGAGCGGAACGGCGGACGGGUGGGUGAUGCAUAGGAAUCGGCCUGGUAGUUGGGGAGAGCGUACGGCAACGGGCGCUAGUAACGCAUACUCUCAAAUGAACCUAGGUAGGAUUAGCUAGUUGGUGGGGUAAAGGCUUACCAAGGCGACGAUCCGUAACUGGUCUGAGAGGAGGAUCAGCCACACUGGAACUGAGACACGGUCCAGACUCCUACGGGAGGCAGCAGUGGGGAAUAUUGGACAAUGGGCGAAAGCCUGAUCCAGCCAUGCCGCGUGUGUGAAGAAGGUCUUCGGAUUGUAAAGCACUUUAAGUCGGGAGGCGUUACCAACAGAAGAAGCACCGGCUAACUCCGUGCCAGCAGCCGCGGUAAUUC